rnacentral:sRNA from 1 species
GGUUAGAAGAUACAAAGACAAAGACUCAUACGAACUUCCGCUACACCAUCAAAGCUUUGAGAAGCAAGAAGAAGCUUGGUUAGUGUUUUGAAGUCGAAUAUGACUUGAUAUCAUGUGUAUGAUUGAGUAUAAGAACUUAAAACCGCAACAGAAUCUUUAAAGACUAAGUAGUGUUUCCUUGUUCGAAGAUACAAAG